CUGGCCCUUGUCCUGUGCAGAAAGAGGAUGGCUGGUUGAGCUCUCCAUGCAGAGAAUGGCCAACUGAAUGUGGGGUCCCCCAUCACACCUCUUGCUUCUGCUGCUCCCCAGACCUCCCCCAUUGCUCCUCAACUCCUCUGGCUUACAGAGGGCCGAUUCAGCCCCAUUUUCAGAUGCGCUGAAGUGAACAGUGAGCCAUGAACAGGACAAGAUGACUCUACCACACAACCAGGCCCUACUGCAGCCCUAACAAUCUCAGGAAGCAUCCUCUAAUUCUCUAAACAGAGCCCUCCCAAGAGGAGGAAGCAGAUGGAGAAAGUUAUUUUCCCUCCCUGCUCAUUCAGUCCUUUUAUGCCUCUUUUGCCCAGGUGAACUCUGACACAAAUUUUCGGGGAGGUUCACCGGAUCUGUGAUGAAAUCUCUGGUUCAUGGCACCAGGAAGCAGAGAUUUGCCAAUAUGGAUGCUUGGCACAUUUGCAUGCCAAGUGCACUCGUUAAGAGUGGGGCAUUUGGAAACACUUAACUCUCUGCCAGCCCAACCCGAGCUGGAAAUGCAGAGGAAAUGUGGGGUCUCCAUCAGCAGAUCUUCAGCCAACCCACUCCACUGUCAGCUACCAAAGCAACAAGCUCCUGCCCAUGGCUCCCCAGCUACUCCAGUGAUCCCCAAGCAGCAAAGAUACAGAUCUUCCCCUCAUGAAUUUGCUAUCAAGAUAACCACUGUACUUAAUGAGCAGAGACAAAGUGGAUCUUUCUAACACUCUCACCAAAUUACAGCUGAAGGAAGCUCCUGAUAGCACUGCUUUACUUAUUCUGACUUUCUUAGAUGUUUAUGAUGAUUGUCUCCUGGGUAAUUUGUUUAAAUUUGUAUGUAAACAAAGAAGAGUUUGUACGCAUCUGCUGCCUCACAAAAAGCAUGUGUCAUUUCUCAAAGGCAUUUCUGCCAUAGCUCAUUCUUUCCAUUUUUCCCUACAGAAUACUCAUCUGGGGGGCAGAAUUACAGCGGAAUAACUACAGCAGAAGCCAAAGUGGAGUCAUAGCCCUCUGCAAAUCAAAUGACUGGUUUUAAUAUUUCCUAAAGCAGCCCUCGACUGAGAAAAGCCUUCUGUUUCCCCUGUUACUCUGAAAGUCUUUGGGCAACCACUCAAGAGGUGUAACUGAACUGCACAGGAGGCCACUGGCCAUGCGUACAUGCACCAGCAGAUCUCUGCCAAGUACAUCCACCUCUUUAAGGUCAUUUCACCCAAUUCUUCUCCUCAUCAUCUCACCUAGAACUCUAUUGCUUUACUGAAGAUGUAAAUACCCACCAACAAGUAUCCAUCCACCUUUCUCUUACACGCUUCAGCUAGAGCAUUUUUUUUUCCUCCCUCACCUCCAAGGCGUUUUCUUUGUGACAAGCUCAGGAAGGAAGAAAAAUGGGAACCAAGCACUUGGAAAACUGCAAACUCUUCAUUUUCCUGAGAAAAAUGCAGAGCAAAGAGCAAGCCAAGCCCACUGCAAACAGGGCAGCUGGAUAUCACAGCAACCCAAGCAAAGAUACCCAUCAACAGGUCUGCUGCUGGGUAUAUUUGAACAGCCCAUCCUCAAACACAGCCCAUGGGCUCUCCAUCACACAACCACCACCCUUAUCACAGCCCACCAGGGCUCCUCACCUGUGUGUCAUUAGCCAGAUUUGAACUCUUGGCUUCAGCUGUUGAAUUCCUGCUCUUACUUUCAAAUGUUCCUCACCCCAAAACACAACCCUUGUGUUUACUCUCUCAUUUCCACCUGCAGUAAUGUGAAACAAAGCAACAAUCACAGCUUUUGCUGUAUCACAUUACUCCCUAACAAUACCUUCCAGUAAUGCUUGAUAAGUUCUGUUUACCAGAACUAUCUCAAGUAGAAUAACACAUGGCAAUUACUUUUUUCAUUUCAGACUCUUAGUCUGGAGAAGGAAAAGAAAAAAAACACAACACAAAAAAACCUUUACCCAUUUAAAUAGCAUUUGUGUGUGCCAGGAAUGCCUAAAGUCAAGAAAACUUGGGUAAACAAAAGUUUUAAGGUUCUGACUCCUAGCAGUUGUUUUACUAGGAAUGCAACCUUCUGUUUCAAUAAGUGAGAUAGACAAUGAUGAAGCUCUCUGUGCUGGCCUCUAUCCUUGUGGGAAUAUGAAGAGAAAACCAUGCGUCUCUUCUUCAUAUAUUAGUGCCUCGUAAUACACACCAGAUGAUCAAUAAACUACAUAAAGAUUAAAUCAGACUGACAGUCCUUAAAAAACGGCCUCUAAGCAGAAACAAUUGUUUUAAAGACUGUGGCGUCUGGAGCAUUAAACUCACGUGCUGCCAUGCUAUUAAUCUCUUUGUUGGAAGCCGGUUGAUUUCCCCUGCCUGCAUCUGUCAAUUAAACAUUCAGCAUUGCAGCCAGCGUCCAACGGUGGAUGUUUUGGCGUGCAAAAUACCUCUUGGAGACGGCCUGCUGGCAGUUCCCGUGCACGCCGUGCCACUUCUAAAAGCCAAGGGGGCUGGCAAGCGAAACUCCACCGUUGUGAUCAGGGGAUGCCCGCAAGCGCUUCAAAGCAAAGCCUUUAAACCGACACCGCGCGAGGAAAGCCGGACCCGCUGCUACAGCACGGAGACGGAGCUGAGAGGGGAAAAGUUCCCCUGUUUCCCCAACGCGGAGCGCAGCGCACUGCCUCCACCUGGAGCUGCAGCGCUGAGCCGCGGGCUGGGGGCCGCUCCUGGGGCGCCCCGAGCCCGUAUGGCUGUGCCUCCCACCCCCCCACAAAGCCGUCCUUUACUUUGCACGAGAGGAGAACAGCGGCGGGGAGGGGGGAAGAGAUAAGUAACUAAAAGUAACGAAGAGAACGAUACAAAGAGAAACAGAAAGGAAAAAAAAAAAAAAAAAAAAGAAAGAAAG